rnacentral:rRNA from 1 species
GCUGCAACUGUUUAUUAAAAACACAGCACUGUGCAAAAUCGUAAGAUGACGUAUACGGUGUGACGCCUGCCCGGUGCCGGAAGGUUAAUUGAUGGGGUUAGACUUCGGUCGAAGCUCUUGAUCGAAGCCCCGGUAAACGGCGGCCGUAACUAUAACGGUCCUAAGGUAGCGAAAUUCCUUGUCGGGUAAGUUCCGACCUGCACGAAUGGCGUAAUGAUGGCCACGCUGUCUCCACCCGAGACUCAGUGAAAUUGAAAUCGCUGUGAAGAUGCAGUGUACCCGCGGCUAGACGGAAAGACCCCGUGAACCUUUACUACAGCUUGGCACUGAACAUUGACCCUACAUGUGUAGGAUAGGUGGGAGGCUUUGAAGCACGUACGCCAGUAUGUGUGGAGCCGUCCUUGAAAUACCACCCUUGUAGUGUUGAUGUUCUAACGUCGACCCCUUAUCGGGGUUGCGGACAGUGCCUGGUGGGUAGUUUGACUGGGGCGGUCUCCUCCCAAAGAGUAACGGAGGAGCACGAAGGUGGGCUAAUCACGGUUGGACAUCGUGAGGUUAGUGCAAUGGCAUAAGCCCGCUUGACUGCGAGAAUGACAAUUCGAGCAGGUGCGAAAGCAGGUCAUAGUGAUCCGGUGGUUCUGAAUGGAAGGGCCAUCGCUCAACGGAUAAAAGGUACUCCGGGGAUAACAGGCUGAUACCGCCCAAGAGUUCAUAUCGACGGCGGUGUUUGGCACCUCGAUGUCGGCUCAUCACAUCCUGGGGCUGAAGUCGGUCCCAAGGGUAUGGCUGUUCGCCAUUUAAAGUGGUACGCGAGCUGGGUUUAGAACGUCGUGAGACAGUUCGGUCCCUAUCUGCCGUGGGCGUUGGAAGAUUGAAGGGGGCUGCUCCUAGUACGAGAGGACCGGAGUGGACGAACCUCUGGUGUUCGGGUUGUGUCGCCAGACGCAUUGCCCGGUAGCUAAGUUCGGAAUCGAUAACCGCUGAAAGCAUCUAAGCGGGAAGCGAGCCCUGAGAUGAGUCUUCCCUGAUACUUUAAGUAUCCUAAAGGGUUGUCGGAGACUACGACGUUGAUAGGUCAGGUGUGUAAGUGCUGUGAGGCAUUGAGCUAACUGAUACUAAUUGCCCGUGAGGCUUAACCAUACAACACCCA